CCUACGGGAGACAGCAGUGGGGAAUAUUGCGCAAUGGGCGAAAGCCUGACGCAGCGACGCCGCGUGAGGGAUGAAGGUCUUCGGAUCGUAAACCUCUGUCAGCAGGGAAGAACGGUCACUGUGCUAAUCAGCAGUGAAUUGACGGUACCUGCAAAGGAAGCACCGGCUAACUCCGUGCCAGCAGCCGCGGUAAUACGGAGGGUGCGAGCGUUAAUCGGAAUUACUGGGCGUAAAGGGGUCGUAGGCGGUAUGGCAAGUCAAGGGUGAAAUCCCCGGGCUCAACGUGGGAACUGCCUUUGAAACUGGGAAACUGGAGUGUGUGAGAGGAUAGCGGAAUUCCAGGUGUAGGGGUGAAAUGCGUAGAUAUCAGGAGGAACAUCAGUGGCGAAGGCGACUAUCUGGCACGUAACUGACGCUGAGGAGCGAAAGCGUGGGUAGCAAACAGGAUUAGAUACCCCAGUAGUC
rnacentral:rRNA from 1 species